rnacentral:lncRNA from 1 species
ACGUGUUGGUUGUAGAAAGCUCUCACAUUUAUAUGGAUUAGAUUUUUUUUUAUAGAGUAAAAUGACUGGGCUCUUUAUAAAUAGAAUAAAACCAAUACCCAAAUUAACAUUUGGGCUCAGGUCCGACUGCCAAAACAAACAAAACAAAUUAAGUUGGGCUUCCCUAAUAGCUAGCCCGUUUUUGAGAAAUGAUGAUAAAAGACAAUAAAGAAUAAAAAAUAGAAAAAACAAAAGGAAAUCAACAGAAAAUCCUCCAGUCACAUCUAACAGCCUGACCAUUUAAUGCUUUACUCGUCUUUUCACGUCCCAACAGCCAUGCCUUUACAGAUAGCCGUUCCCUAAGAUAUCAAUUCCUUGCUACCCUUAACUACGCCCUACUCCUUGUCCAUUCAUCUUCAAUCUAGCGAUUCUCUCCAUCUUCCCUCUGAGUCUGCAACUCUCUGAACGUCGUCUUCCCUCCCAGGUAUGAGCCCUCCCUUCUCUCCAACGCUUCUUUUGCUAGAUUAUGGGCUUGAAUGUUCUUCGUUCUAUGGAUAAACUUGAAAGUAAAGUCUUGAACCCUGGAUUUUCUGGUCUGUAUGUCAUAAAUAAUCGCCCCAAGAACCGACUUAUCCAUUUCUUUCGAUUGACAUUUUUGAAUGACUGUUCUCGAGUCCCCCUCUAUUGUUACUGUUGUUAACCCCAUUUCUAUUACUAACUUAAUGGUAUCUAAUCCUGCGAGGGCUUCUGCUGCAAACGGGGUGGGGGUAUCCUCAUGUGUAACUGACUUUGAGGCUUUUAAAGCUCCCGUUUGGUCUCAAACGACUAUACCUGAGGCAGAUCUAGCAUUUCUUUUGUCAAAAGCGGCAUCAAACUGAACUGUGGUACCCUCCGUCGCCCCAGUAUAACUGUUGUCCCUUUUGGAAGAAGACGUAAAUGUUUUCAUUCGGAUCCCCUCCAGUUCUGCUAUGUAACUACUAACUUUCCUUGCUAAAUCCCUAACUGGUAUGAUUUUCUUUUCAUGUACAAGCUAAUUUCGAGAACUCCAAACACACCAUAGCACACAACAAAAGGAUCGACAUUGCUUGUGACACCCCUAAUCUGACCCUAGUCGAAAAGUGAUUUCGGGACCACGAAAUCGAGUUUUAUAAAUAAUUGAAAGUUAUAUUCUAUGUUCAUGAGGUGAGUAAAUGCAUGUGUAAAAAUUUCAAGCAUUAAUUUUGCCAUUUGUAUGUGAAAUUUUGAAACGGGACUUAUGUGAAACAUUGGUAAAAUAGGAUGGUAAAAAUAUAAAGUGAUCUAAUAGAGCAUGUAUUAAAAAAUGUGGACUUGCAUUUCAAUUAGACCAUUUUUGAAUGUAAAUGGCCGGCCAACACAUGCAUGUAACAAUGUGUUCUCUUGUCUCCAUUUUUAAUUAGUGGGAAUUAUGUAUAAUAAUAAAUUUAUAUUAGUGGUGGUGAUAAAAAUAAAGUCCCAUCAUCUUUUUUUCAUCUUGCCGAAACCAUAAGGAAAGGAAAAAGAAAAAUGGAAGGAAGAACACCUAAGGCAUUCGGCCAUCUUGUGUUGGGAAUUAAGGUAUGAUUUCAUAUGUUUUUCUUUGGAUUUUGAGAAAUUUAAAUUGGUUUUAAAGCUCCUAAAAUGACCCAUGUAUGUGAUUUUGUGUUUGUGAUGCAUGAAGCAUUCGAUCAUGAGCUCAAUGGGUUACAUUGUGUAUGUUUUGCUAAUUUGUGAGGAGAAAUGUUUCUAAUUGAGUAUAAACAAACUAAAUUACUAUAUAUGGCUCAAAUGAGCUUGAGUAGUCGGCUAACGAAGUUAGUUGAGUUAUAAUACUUGCUUAAUAAUGAAAAUAACAUGAGCUUAAUGCUCAAAUAGCAUUCGGCUUUGGACUAAGUUAAAUUAGUUAGGAAAUGAGUUCCAAGAUAGUGAAUUAUGUGUUAAAAGAGGGAUUUAGGUUGUAUAUACGUGUUUAGAUUGAAAACAAGAGGCUAUGUUAGCUAAUUGAGGGAUUCGGCCAUAGUAUUAUAGUGAAUAAUAAUUUGAACAAGGGUUUUAAUUGUAUGAUAGGUUUUCGGAUAUGGUUGAUUGGAUAAUAAAUUGGUGUGGGUGUUUUGAAUGAGAUAUGUAUAAUUAUAAGUUAAAUUUAAGGUUUGUUAAAUUUGUCCUUAUCAUUGCCGAAUGAGUUCAAUGGCUAAAGAAAAUUGUUAAGUGCUUAGUUAAUGUGCAUUCGGUCAUUUAGGAUGAGUAUACAUUUGAUAAUGUUUUGAUACUUUGAAAUGGAAUUUAAUUAUUAAUGAGUUAUAAGCUUGUUGAAUUUUGAGAUGUAAUUGGGAGUAAAUUUGAUAUGAGCAUAUUUUGUUAAUGACAUAUUGAUAAAUGUUGAGUUACGAUACCAUGAUAUUAAGCUUAAAGGCAUUCGAUCAUGAGAUGGAUUAAGGUGAACUAAAUGAUAUUUGGCAAUGGUACUUUUUACAUGAGAAAUUCGGUGUUAAUUGUAUUAAAUAAGGUUUUUGUUUCUUGUUAAAUUGGAUGUAUCUUGUUGUAUGAGUGCUUGAACAAACUAUGAUUAAAUAGAUGCAUAGAUUCAAGGCGGCAAGAAUUGGCUAUUAUGCUUGAUACUAAUGCCGAAUAUGAGAAUGUUGUACUUGAAAAAUGUAGGUGAACAUGACAAGUGUAUUCGGCUUAGGACAUAAAGGAUAUGAAAAUUUGGUAUUUAUUUUUGAUUGUGUGUGUAUGACCAUGGAUAAUUGGCUGCACAAAUAUUAUAAAUACAUAAAUUUAUUAAGCUACAAAACAUUAUACAUGAUCGGCCAAAGUAAAUUAUUUGAGUAAAGUAUAUCUUGAUGGUACAUUUCAGCUAGUAUAAAAUGUAUAUGGAUGUCGUAUGACUAUGUUUAAUUUGGGAAGUAAAUUGUUUGAUUUAGCUCAAGGGCCUAGAGGAUCAAAGUUGGAUAAGGGAAAGGAAAAAGUGAUCGAAUAGCCGUCGUAAUCGUUUGGUAUCUUUCGAGGUAAGUUUUAAGUGAUUAAACGUUGAGUAAAUUCAAUCAUAAUAGGACAUAAUGAGUUGAUUUAAUAAGAUAUGAUGUGGCCAUGAUAUGUCUUAAACUCAAAUGGUAAGUUCAUAAGUGUUUGGACUUGGAAAUUUAAGAGCAAAUUGUAAUAAUUUGCUUAGGACAGCAGCAGUAAUGUGAUUUUAUAAAAUCACUAUAAAUUGUUGGUGUGGAAUUAUAGGCUGAAUAAAAUAUGUAUUCAAAGCUUAAUUAGUCUAGUUUCUUAUAAAAGAGACCGUGUAAGCAAAGAAAUUUCCUAUAAAGUGAUAUUGGAAGUUGUGCUAGACAGUGUCAGAAUGACUCUGAAAUCCCUUAUUCUGUUUUUAGAAAAUCUUUAUAAUUUGUACAAAAAUGGUUAUAAGAUAAAAUGUAUAUGCUUAGACUCCUUAAUGAGUCUAGUUUCAAAUGAAAUCAAAUAGAACAUAUUUUGAAUUCUGUACAAUGAGAAAUUUGAUUCGUAGUGAAGAGUGGUCAGAUUAGUCAAACAGUGAAACAGGGGAAAUUUUAAGAAAAAUUUGGUAUUGAUUGGCCAAACUUAAAAUUCUGAAAAUUUUAUGGAUGGAAGAUAUAUGAGUCUAUAUUCAGGGAAAAUUAAUGGCAAUUGAUUUUCAGUUUUGUAGCUCCAGUUAUAAAUAAUUUAGUUACUAUUGCUCAGGAAAACAGCUUGUAGUGAACAUGUGAAUUUGUUGUAAACAUUGAUUAAACUAUUUGAGUUGCUUAUAAGCUAUUGCUGAAAUUGAUGUACAAGAUAAAUAUAUAUGUAUAUGUGGUAAAGCCGAAUGGCUAAUGUGAAAUAUGUAUGAGAUAUGUAUAUGUAGUAAAGCCGAAUGGCUAAUGUGAAAUACAUAUGAGAUAUGUAUAUGUGGUAAAGUCGAAUGGCUAAUGUGAAAUACCUAUGAGAUAUGUAUAUGUGGUAAAGCCGAAUGGCUAAUGUGAAAUAUGUAUGAGAUAUGUAUAUGUGGUAAAGCCGAAUGGCUAAUGUGAAAUACAUAUGAGAUAUGUAUAUGUGGUAAAGCCGAAUGGCUAAUGUGAAAUAUGUAUGAGAUAUGUAUAUGUGGUAAAGCCGAAUGGUUAAUGUGAAAUAUGUAUGAGAUAUGUAUAUGUGGUAAAGCCGAAUAUCUAUGAGAUAUGUAUAUGUGGUAAAGCCGAAUGGCUAAUGUGAAAUAUGUAUGAUAUAUGUAUAUGUGGUAAAGCCGAAUGGCUAAUGUGAAAUAUGUAUGAGAUAUGUAUAUGUGGUAAAGCCGAAUGGCUAAUGUGAAAUAUGUAUGAGAUAUGUAUAUGUGGUAAAGCUGAAUGGCUAGUGUGAACUAUGUAGGAGAUGUGAACUAUAUUGUGGCCGAAUGACCAAAUGUGAAAGGUGUGUAUUAUUAGAUAUUUGAUGAGGCAAAUGAAUUACAAAUAUGACAGUCGAUGUGAAUGUUGUAACAUGUGAUUAAAUGUACAUGAAACUUGGAAAUAUAUUCCGAGUAAGACCCGAUGACUACGUGUGGAGAUUUUGUCCGGGUAAGACCCGAUAACUACGUGUGGGGACUAUUCGAGCUAAAGGUUUUGCUGAAGAUUCGAGUAAAGCAUAAGAUUAUACAAUUUCACAGUAACAAUUGGUAAUAAAUACGUUCAAUGCGUUAAGUUGGUCAGGUAUGUAUUUUGAGAUUAUAUUUAAGCUUGAUUUGGACUAAAUCACAAGGUCAUUAUGUGACGCAUAUGUGAGUAAAGCAAUAAGACUGUUCUAUGAUUAUUGUGCGUUUGGUCAAUGUGGAAAGUUAGGUGAAAACAUGUAAUGUACCUAUGUUUAUAAGAGAUCACUAUCAAGUGAGAAUUUAUCUGCCUAUUAUAUAUGAUGAGAUGUGCAUAUUCGGUAAAGGGAUGGUAUGCCCGAAGGAAGAGUGAAAUAAAGAUACGAACAACUAUGUUAUAAUUUGAUUGUUAUCUGUUAACACUGCUUAAAACUUACUAAGCAUUGUAAUGCUUACUCCGUUUACUUUGUUUCAUCUGUUUUAUAGAUCUCAUUUGGAAGCUACAGGCUCGGGGAUCGUCAGCAACUAGUCACACUAUCACUAUCCACUGCUUGUUACUGUUAUGUUUUGAAUUAUUCUAUGGCAUGUAAAGAAUAGACCAGUGGCCAAAGAAUAUUUUGGUUAAUGUAUAUAAGCCAUGCGAAAAUGGCAUCUUUUGAAUGUGUACUUAUAGAAGUUAAAUUGUAUCCUUGACUGUCUUUAGUAUUUACCUAAAGAAAUGUUCUUUAUAAAAAAAUAUAUAUAUAUUCGAAAUUUUUACUGUUCUGAUAUGAGUUUCAAGUCCGAUAAUGCCCCUUUGCCUAUUCCGGCGAUGGAUACGGGGUAGGGGUGUUACAUUGCUCCAUUGUACUCCUUUCAAAAACCCAGAUAAGCCACUCCUAGAAACUUUGAUUAUCAUGAUCAAUGGUCCAAGAGAGAUUAAUGAGAUUCCAUAUUUAACUGAUUGCAGGACAAAAUCUAAAGAUAUGGUUACUGUCUUUGUAAUACCCUGAAAAUUU